CCCUUAGAUGUCCUGGGCCGCACGCGUGCUACACUGAUGCAUUCAACGAGUCUAAAACCUGGUCUGAUAGGGCUGGGUAAUCUUUUGAAAGUGCAUCGUGAUUGGGAUAGAUGAUUGCAAUUCUUCAUCUUCAACGAGGAAUGCCUAGUAAACGCAAGUCAUCAGCUUGCAUUGAUUACGUCCCUGCCCUUUGUACACACCGCCCGUCGCUCCUACCGAUUGAAUGAUCCGAUGAAUACCAUGGAUUGAGAGUACGAAUAGGUUCGCUUAUUUCUGCUGCUCGAGAAGUGGAGUAAAUCUUAUCAUUUAGAGGAAGGAGAAGUCGUAACA
rnacentral:rRNA from 1 species